UCGAAUCCCAUUCUCCCACGCUUUGCUUCCGUGGACGGCGCCCCUUCCUCCUAUCGCAUCCAACGUGGCCAUGCCCACACGAUCAGCUACAAACGACGAAAUCCAAUUCCUGUCUUUGAUACGAAAGACCCUCUGGUUCAUGCUGAGGUGGCAAGUUUUUUAUGGUUGAUUAUGCUGUUUGGAAACGGCUGUUUAAUCUUUUAUCCGUGGUGUGUGAUGGGAAACGGUUGUCCACGUGCCCGCACGCGUUGGGCUCACACGGGGUUGGGGUCGACGCCUCUCGGCCUUGCGUCUCCCGUGGGCCACCCGGAACCCGAAUCUUUGGUUGGACUCCUCGUUGCGUGGGCAAACUAAGCGCUCGUCCAACAACAGCCACCUUUGCGUCUACGUGUCCGCGGUGGGCUUCCAGAUCGGAAGACCACCGAACCCGAUUCUUCUCCAUCGAUUCCGAUCCAUCUCUAUUCGGCUAGUCUUCUUGAUGGACCACGGCAAGCUUGCCGGCCAUCCACCGCCACCGGCACCGCAGCAGCAAGGGUUCCAGGGACUGGGUGAUCGUCCCCGUCGAACACAUCUCACCGAUCCGCCUCUGCCGGGCCCUCGGCAAGGCGCUAUGCUAACAAUCUGAACCAGGCAUCAUCCGGUCAGUGAUGGAGCUUCCCAAACCCUUAGGUCACAAGGAGGCGAUCCUCAAGGUGCUUUGCUUAGUACCAUAAGAAAUCGGGAGAAAGGCAGGCGCGUUGCUGGAAAUUUGUGGCACCAUCAACCAGUCCUAGUGUUAUUGAUACAGCCUUGGCUAGCCUUGCACAAGGAACAAAAGUUCUUGCAGAAGGGUGGGACAUGGGAAUGACAAGGGAGAACAGCUCCUGAGAGCAUACACAAGUUUUCUCUCUUCUUCAGCAGGUCCUGUGCUAGGAACAUUUUUUUCCCACCCAUUGCUAGGACUGUCACAAUAUCUCCAGUGGCCAACAAGAGUGGGCAUAUUAUAAGUUCAAUUCAUGCUGUCAGGAAAUCUCCAACUGUGUUAGCACUCUUCUGAUCUGAGGAUUCAAGCCUUGCUGCGAGCAUAGCCAACUGACCUUUCACGCUCAGAUCAAUAAUAUGUGACCCAUCGUCACAGUAGCUAAUGACAAAGCCUGCAAUCAGCGAUGGAUCGACAAUGUUUUCCAGUCUCAAUUUUCUGAACCCUGUCAGCCUCUGCAUCUUUCUUGAGAUGAGAUUGAUCUGCCUAUCAUCCAAUUUCACAGCAGAAGAGACAGAAAUGACAAGAACAUCACUUGGCUUGGAAGAGUUUUGAUCGCCGUCUUUGCUGGCAUCUUGUGUCACACUGAACUUCUCUUCCUCCAUGAUAGCAUGCAUGAAACUCGGAGUUAAGGGCUGAAACUCCAGGCCGCACACCGGCAUGUUGCAAUUUUCGACAUGUCCAACUUUGUGUUCGUUUACAAGUGAAUGAGAAAGAUUGCAAAUGCUACUGGUGGAUCCAUCGAAUAUGUCAAUGCGUACAUCAGGGUCGGUUCCAACAUCAGAUACAGCAUAUGAAGGCCGUCCUUGUCUGGAUUCCCUGCCUGCAAUGGUGACAGAGGCCUUCUUCAACGAGCUUAAUGGGCAUGCCUUCAGGGAGGAAACACCAUGCAGAGGCAGACCCAUUUGAAAACGUUGUUGACAGGCAUCCAUGGCAGAACUUUUAAGAGGGCAUGCUGGUUGCCCAUUUGGAUUAAUGGACUGGUAUAAGAUCUUCAUCUGCAAAAUUGUUACUUAGUCAACUUCUGAUUCCCAAUAUAUGAUUGAAUGUUGCAAUGAUUUUUAGGACAAAUGAUUGAGGACAGUAGUGCAAGAUAAA